CCAGCCGUAUCCGCAUCACUCACCACUCCUUGGGCCGGUUCAAUUCCAUGCCUACAGCUCACGUGAGUCCCUCGGUAGCGCACGAUACCACACCUUCAUCUUGUAUAACUGGCCGCUGACCCGUGGUCGGACUCCGAAGGUUACGAAUUCCGCUGCCGCCAUGAUGACUCCUGAGCCAUCACAGCAAGAACCGCCCAACGGAGACGGCAAAGAUGAGGAAGCUAAUCGUCUCUUACCCGCAAAAUCUCCUUCGCCACUGUCGCCAUCAUCGGACGAGGAGGAGGUCGCGUACGAAUCUAGAGAGAAAAUAUCAAUCGUCGAUUUGGAAGGCGAAACCCUAGAGUCCCUCGAUGCGUCCGCGACUCCGCCCUUCUCGUGGAAGAAGCUGUGGCUAUUCACGGGACCAGGGUUCCUGAUGAGCAUUGCGUUCCUAGAUCCCGGAAACCUUGAAGGGGAUCUUCAGGCGGGAGCCAUUGCAGGGUACUCUCUGCUAUGGCUAUUGAUGUGGGCGACGGUUAUGGGGCUCUUGAUCCAGUUAUUGUCGGCGAGGGUUGGGGUGGCCACGGGGCGGCAUCUAGCCGAGCUCUGUAGGGAAGAGUAUCCGACAUGGGCUGGGCGGUUGUUGUGGUUCAUGGCGGAGUUGGCCUUGAUCGGGGCUGAUAUCCAGGAGGUGAUUGGUAGUGCCAUUGCAAUUAAGAUUCUUAGCCGUGGAUUUCUUCCGCUUUGGGCUGGAGUUGUAAUUACUGCGUCCGAUUGUUUUAUCUUUUUGUUUCUUGAAAACUAUGGAGUGAGGAAGUUGGAAGCUGUUUUUGCAGUUUUCAUUGCAACAAUGGGACUUUCAUUUGCCUGGAUGUUUGGUGAUGCAAAGCCCAGUGGAAGGGAACUUCUGAUAGGUGUUUUGGUUCCAAAACUUAGCUCAAAAACAAUUCGGCAGGCAGUGGGAGUUGUUGGUUGUGUUAUAAUGCCUCAUAAUGUAUUUUUGCAUUCUGCUUUGGUACAGUCCAGGAAGAUUGACCCCCACAGAAAAGGUCGGGUUCAAGAGGCACUCAACUACUAUUCAAUUGAGUCGACAGUUGCCCUUCUAAUCUCUUUCAUGAUCAAUUUGUUUGUGACAACUGUUUUUGCAAAGGGAUUUUAUGGUACUAAACAGGCCGAUGGAAUAGGCCUAGUAAAUGCAGGGCAGUAUCUUGAAGAGAAGUAUGGGGGAGGUGUUUUCCCAAUACUUUAUGUCUGGGGUAUUGGACUAUUGGCAGCUGGACAGAGUAGUACCAUAACUGGCACAUAUGCUGGGCAAUUUAUCAUGGGAGGCUUUCUCAAUCUCCGUCUGAAGAAAUGGCUAAGGGCAUUGAUAACACGUAGUUUUGCUAUUGUGCCUACUAUGAUUGUAGCUCUUGUUUUCAACAGAUCUGAAGCUUCACUGGAUGUUUUAAAUGAAUGGCUUAAUGUGCUUCAGUCAAUGCAGAUUCCUUUUGCACUUAUUCCCCUUCUUACUUUAGUGUCCAAGGAACAGGUUAUGGGUGUCUUCAAGGUUGGACCACUUUUAGAGAGAGUGGCGUGGACUGUGGCUGCCCUUGUAAUAGUGAUCAAUGGGUAUCUUCUGCUGGAUUUCUUCAUGGCUGAAGUUGAUGGAGUGCUAUUUGGUUUUCUGGUCUGUGCUGGCACAGCUCUAUAUGUAGCAUUUAUUUUUUAUCUUGUAUCACAUGGUGGUGUCCUUUCUUCUACUUGGUUCAGCUUAGUAACAUCCAAGAGGUUUGCUUUCAUUGGGAGUUGAGGGACUUAAAAAAUAUCAUAAUCAUUCUGUCCACUGUCUGACAAAUUUCAAAGAGGGCUAUUCCCCCAAUGGAAGCAGUUUUCUACAAGAAGCCUCUUUCUAACUUUUGUGCAUGGGUGAUGUAAGUGUACAAAUUUAUGAAAAAGGUGAAUCUUUUUUAAAAUGCACUUCUCCACAUGCUGGAGGCACCGGGUUGCACUUUAUGCUUUGGAUCAUCUGAAGAUAUUCUUUUCUCCAUCCUAGAGGAUGAACUAAACACAUCCACCUGCCACAGGAUAAAGGUAUUUCUCUGUUCCAAUUCUUGAAGGGGGGUUGGAGGGAAAGAUUCAACGUAGCAAGUAAAAAUUUUAGAAUGAACCAUUUAGUUUUCUUAUGCUGUAACUGAUGGAUGUUAUUGUAUAGGGUAGAAUCGAAUGGGCACUUGUUUCCAAUCAAAUAAUGCAAAGGGAAGUACCGUGUGCAAGCAUAUAAUGCAUUGCUACAGCUAUAUGGGAUGUUCUUGUUUGUGGUAUUGGAACUUUCUGGUGUUCUUAUUUUGUAGGGAAAUAUGGAAAAACCUAUUCUGCUCAGUGCGGACUAAAACCAAUCAUGCUGAAGCUUCAAAAAUUAAUUUAUUGCUUGAAGAAUGUUGAUGAUUGUGUUAAACUGCCCAGGCCUAGUUGAAUGGUGUCAUGUAGUUGGAUAUGAUUGAUUUCUUCAUAGGGACAGUAUGGAGGGGGAUAGGGGGGAAAGGAAGGGGAUUUUCGUCAUUUCCUUUCUUGGUCAUCUAAUUAGUUGUAAUUUAUUCCAAAAAUUAAGGAAACGACUUCAAAAAAUGUUGCUUGAAGAAUUUGUCACAUCCUCUUCUCGUUCCUCUUUGAGAUUGUGAUUGGAAAUUUGUC